UUUUAUGGAGAGUUUGAUCCUGGCUCAGGAUGAACGCUGGCGGCGUGCCUAAUACAUGCAAGUCGAGCGAACGGACGAGAAGCUUGCUUCUCUGAUGUUAGCGGCGGACGGGUGAGUAACACGUGGAUAACCUACCUAUAAGACUGGGAUAACUUCGGGAAACCGGAGCUAAUACCGGAUAAUAUUUUGAACCGCAUGGUUCAAAAGUGAAAGACGGUCUUGCUGUCACUUAUAGAUGGAUCCGCGCUGCAUUAGCUAGUUGGUAAGGUAACGGCUUACCAAGGCAACGAUGCAUAGCCGACCUGAGAGGGUGAUCGGCCACACUGGAACUGAGACACGGUCCAGACUCCUACGGGAGGCAGCAGUAGGGAAUCUUCCGCAAUGGGCGAAAGCCUGACGGAGCAACGCCGCGUGAGUGAUGAAGGUCUUCGGAUCGUAAAACUCUGUUAUUAGGGAAGAACAUAUGUGUAAGUAACUGUGCACAUCUUGACGGUACUUAAUCAGAAAGCCACGGCUAACUACGUGCCAGCAGCCGCGGUAAUACGUAGGUGGCAAGCGUUAUCCGGAAUUAUUGGGCGUAAAGCGCGCGUAGGCGGUUUUUUAAGUCUGAUGUGAAAGCCCACGGCUCAACCGUGGAGGGUCAUUGGAAACUGGAAAACUUGAGUGCAGAAGAGGAAAGUGGAAUUCCAUGUGUAGCGGUGAAAUGCGCAGAGAUAUGGAGGAACACCAGUGGCGAAGGCGACUUUCUGGUCUGUAACUGACGCUGAUGUGCGAAAGCGUGGGGAUCAAACAGGAUUAGAUACCCUGGUAGUCCACGCCGUAAACGAUGAGUGCUAAGUGUUAGGGGGUUUCCGCCCCUUAGUGCUGCAGCUAACGCAUUAAGCACUCCGCCUGGGGAGUACGACCGCAAGGUUGAAACUCAAAGGAAUUGACGGGGACCCGCACAAGCGAUGGAGCAUGUGGUUUAAUUCGAAGCAACGCGAAGAACCUUACCAAAUCUUGACAUCCUUUGACAACUCUAGAGAUAGAGCCUUCCCCUUCGGGGGACAAAGUGACAGGUGGUGCAUGGUUGUCGUCAGCUCGUGUCGUGAGAUGUUGGGUUAAGUCCCGCAACGAGCGCAACCCUUAAGCUUAGUUGCCAUCAUUAAGUUGGGCACUCUAAGUUGACUGCCGGUGACAAACCGGAGGAAGGUGGGGAUGACGUCAAAUCAUCAUGCCCCUUAUGAUUUGGGCUACACACGUGCUACAAUGGACAAUACAAAGGGCAGCGAAACCGCGAGGUCAAGCAAAUCCCAUAAAGUUGUUCUCAGUUCGGAUUGUAGUCUGCAACUCGACUACAUGAAGCUGGAAUCGCUAGUAAUCGUAGAUCAGCAUGCUACGGUGAAUACGUUCCCGGGUCUUGUACACACCGCCCGUCACACCACGAGAGUUUGUAACACCCGAAGCCGGUGGAGUAACCUUUUAGGAGCUAGCCGUCGAAGGUGGGACAAAUGAUUGGGGUGAAGUCGUAACAAGGUAGCCGUAUCGGAAGGUGCGGCUGGAUCACCUCCUUUCU
rnacentral:rRNA from 1 species